rnacentral:rRNA from 1 species
UACAGAGGGUGCGAGCGUUGUCCGGAAUCACUGGGCGUAAAGGGCGCGUAGGUGGCGGCCCAAGUCCAUGGUGAAAGCUCGCCGCUCAACGGCGAGUCGGCCAUGGAUACUGGGUUGCUCGAGCACUGUAGGGCAGGAUGGGAAUUCCGGGUGUAGCGGUGGAAUGCGUAGAGAUCCGGAAGAACACCAGUGGCGAAGGCGGUCUGCUGGGCAGUAGCUGACACUGAUGCGCGACAGCGUGGGGAGCAAACAGG